rnacentral:rRNA from 1 species
GGAAUCUUCCGCAAUGGACGAAAGUCUGACGGAGCAACGCCGCGUGAGUGAUGAAGGUUUUCGGAUCGUAAAACUCUGUUGUUAGGGAAGAACAAGUACCGUUCGAACAGGGCGGUGCCUUGACGGUACCUAACCAGAAAGCCACGGCUAACUACGUGCCAGCAGCCGCGGUAAUACGUAGGUGGCAAGCGUUGUCCGGAAUUAUUGGGCGUAAAGCGCGCGCAGGCGGUUUCUUAAGUCUGAUGUGAAAGCCCCCGGCUCAACCGGGGAGGGUCAUUGGAAACUGGGGAACUUGAGUGCAGAAGAGGAGAGUGGAAUUCCACGUGUAGCGGUGAAAUGCGUAGAGAUGUGGAGGAACACCAGUGGCGAAGGCGACUCUCUGGUCUGUAACUGACGCUGAGGCGCGAAAGCGUGGGGAGCGAACAGGAUUAGAUACCCUGGUAGUCCACGCCGUAAACGAUGAGUGCUAAGUGAUAGAGGAUUUCCGCCCUUU